AUAGACGAUUCCCGUCUGACCUAACCCCCCUUUUUUGUAUUUUUCUUUGAAAGACAAUCGGUUUUCAUGAUCAUUGCCGCUUUCAAAUAUUUUUUAUAUGUAUUCCUGAUUCUUAUACAAAUUUUUGAAAAUUCGGAAAAUCUCUCCAAUUUGAAAUAAAAAUCAUCGUGCGAAGUAGUGGAGCUCCACCCCUGGCCUGUGGAGAUAUUUUUUUUUUGAGAUCAGGCUUCCGACCCUGGCGGUCUUUCUGACAUGUUUACAUUUUGAAAUUAAAUCUCCAUCGCUGCUCGCUCAGUCUGCUCUUUUGUGGGCGAAUCGUAUUGCUCCAGUUUUGCUGGAAAUAUUUAUUGUUUUACAUACCUAAUUAAAAAAUAAUUGUGUACAUAUUGAGGCUCUAAAACAAAUAAAACCUUCCAAACAUUGUACAGUAACCCAUGCAACGGAAGUUGAUUUUCGGUUGACACUGGGAAUGUUCCUUCGAAAAGCACCACCUGUUGCAACCGGAAGAGGAGUAACCCAGUUGAAGUCCGCUUGCGUUCCGCUACUGAUUCCCAUUCUAUACUCUUCGAAACGCGUCACGAUGUGCAUCAGCAGCUAAAAACAGUUGCAGCAUAUGAAGGGAAGGCACUCCCAGGAAGCAAGGGAGGAAGGAAGAACACUCUUAUCAGUGCUUGGUUGUGACGGAUCGGAAGAAUACAAUGGAUGACAUCAGUUCGUAUUUUAUUCUGAAGUAUUUGGCCUUCAUCGGAAUCUUAAACAAUUAUACCAAGAGCUAACUAUUCGUGGAUGCAAGGGGAACAUUGUUCCGGAAAUGCAGAAAUCUAAAGGAGCACCCGGCGAUCAUCCGGAAGAUGACGUAGAAGUUCGAUGAGGACAUCCACGAGUAUCCACCGACCAGGCAGCCGUGGAAGUAGAUGGAGUUGCCGUCACACGACCGUGUCACUAUCAAACUGAUGACGACGUUGGUGGGCAUGCCUCUGUUCGUCAGCUUCCAUAACGCCACCCGACAAUACGGCACGGAGUCGGGCAACCUGCUGACAUGCAUCGUUUCUUUUACAUCGUUAACAGGACAUUGCUGGAGAUUCGGGCCAGUCAGAAAAAGGAUCGGGAACGGAAUUCAAUUAUUAUUAUUUUAAUAAGUAGGUAAAUAAAACUGCUUCUUCCUA